rnacentral:rRNA from 1 species
CAAGUCGAACGGUAACAGGAAGCAGCUUGCUGCUUCGCUGACGAGUGGCGGACGGGUGAGUAAUGUCUGGGAAACUGCCUGAUGGAGGGGGAUAACUACUGGAAACGGUAGCUAAUACCGCAUAACGUCGCAAGACCAAAGAGGGGGACCUUCGGGCCUCUUGCCAUCGGAUGUGCCCAGAUGGGAUUAGCUAGUAGGUGGGGUAACGGCUCACCUAGGCGACGAUCCCUAGCUGGUCUGAGAGGAUGACCAGCCACACUGGAACUGAGACACGGUCCAGACUCCUACGGGAGGCAGCAGUGGGGAAUAUUGCACAAUGGGCGCAAGCCUGAUGCAGCCAUGCCGCGUGUAUGAAGAAGGCCUUCGGGUUGUAAAGUACUUUCAGCGGGGAGGAAGGCGAUAAGGUUAAUAACCUUGUCGAUUGACGUUACCCGCAAAAGAAGCACCGGCUAACUCCGUGCCAGCAGCCGCGGUAAUACGGAGGGUGCAAGCGUUAAUCGGAAUUACUGGGCGUAAAGCGCACGCAGGCGGUCUGUCAAGUCGGAUGUGAAAUCCCCGGGCUCAACCUGGGAACUGCAUUCGAAACUGGCAGGCUAGAGUCUUGUAGAGGGGGGUAGAAUUCCAGGUGUAGCGGUGAAAUGCGUAGAGAUCUGGAGGAAUACCGGUGGCGAAGGCGGCCCCCUGGACAAAGACUGACGCUCAGGUGCGAAAGCGUGGGGAGCAAACAGGAUUAGAUACCCUGGUAGUCCACGCCGUAAACGAUGUCGACUUGGAGGUUGUGCCCUUGAGGCGUGGCUUCCGGGAGCUAACGCGUUAAGUCGACCGCCUGGGGGAGUACGGGCCGCAAAGGUUAAAACUCAAAUGAAUUGACGGGGGCCCGCACAAGCGGGUGGAGCAUGUGGUUUAAUUCGAUGCAACGCGAAAGAACCCUUACCUACUCUUGACAUCCCA